AUCGUAACUCCUACGGGAGGCAGCAGUGGGGAAUAUUGCGCAAUGGGCGAAAGCCUGAUGCAGCGACGCCGCGUGAGGGAUGAAGGCCUUCGGGUUGUAAACCUCUUUCAGUAGGGAAGAAGCGCAAGUGACGGUACCUACAGAAGAAGCACCGGCUAACUACGUGCCAGCAGCCGCGGUAAUACGUAGGGUGCGAGCGUUGUCCGGAAUUAUUGGGUGUAAAGAGCUUGUAGGCGGUUUGUCGCGUCUGCCGUGAAAAUCCGGGGCUCAACUCCGGACUUGCGGUGGGUACGGGCAGACUAGAGUGUGGUAGGGGAGACUGGAAUUCCUGGUGUAGCGGUGAAAUGCGCAGAUAUCAGGAGGAACACCGAUGGCGAAGGCAGGUCUCUGGGCUACUACUGACGCUGAGAAGCGAAAGCGUGGGGAGCGAACAGGAUUAGAAACCCGAGUAGUCCUAGAGC
rnacentral:rRNA from 1 species